CCCGUCACACCAUGGGAGUCAAUUGCUCCAGAAGUCAGUGUGCCAACCGCAAGGAGGCAGCUGCCCCAAGGAGUGAUUGGUAACUGGGGUG
rnacentral:rRNA from 1 species